rnacentral:rRNA from 1 species
UACGGAGGGUGCAAGCGUUAUCCGGAUUCACUGGGCUUAAAGGGUGCGUAGGUGGGCUAGUAAGUCCGUGGUGAAAUCCCUGAGCUUAACUUGGGAACUGCCAUUGAUACUAUUAGUCUUGAAUAUCGUGGAGGUAAGCGGAAUAUGUCAUGUAGCGGUGAAAUGCUUAGAUAUGACAUAGAACACCAAUUGCGAAGGCAGCUUGCUACACGGUCAUUGACACUGAGGCGCGAAAGCGUGGGGAGCAAACAGG